rnacentral:miRNA from 2 species
CUCAGCGGCAGUGCUAUUCCAG